rnacentral:rRNA from 1 species
UACGUAGGUGCCAAGCGUUGUCCGGAUUUACUGGGCGUAAAGAGCGCGCAGGCGGUCGUUCAAGUCGCGUGUGAAAGCCCCCGGCUCAACUGGGGAGGGUCACGCGAUACUGAUCGACUGGAAGGCAGGAGAGGGUAGUGGAAUUCCCGGUGUAGUGGUGAAAUGCGUAGAUAUCGGGAGGAACACCAGUGGCGAAGGCGACUACCUGGCCUGUUCUUGACGCUGAGGCGCGAAAGCUAGGGGAGCAAACGGG